GACACAUUUAAAAUUUUGUAUGAUACUUGUUUCUAGGGGACAGAUUUGUUGUUGUUGCUAAUUAAUACUAACUUCUUGUCAUAUUUGAGAAAUAUAUGGGAAGGUGUGAGAUUCUCUACUGGUAAAUAGUCAGGCUCUCAUCCUAUUAGGAAAAUAAUUUCAUUUCUUAUUUUGAAACAGCAUCAGGAUCAGAGCUGAAGUGAUGGCAAGCUGGAAACAGGCUGUAAUGAGCUGAAAAGAAGGAGCAUGAAGUGAAGUACACCUGUGGGCUCCAUGCUUGCAGCUGCCUGAGAUAGUCAUCCAAAUAUGCCACCCUGCCUCUACCAGCCUGCCAACAGAAGCAGUGUGUUCAUGCUGGGCUUUUCAGCUGUGUGGCAGUGCCACAUAGACCUUCUGUGACUCAGCCAAAGACGAAGUUCAUGUACAAGAAGUACAUCUCAGGUCUGGGUUUUCUUGUUUGGCUUUUUAUUCAUAGGUACAUAGCACCAAAAUGUUUCUUCUAAGUGUUCUUGCUGAAAGCUGUUCAAACGUGUAUUGUCUGGAAGAAGACUGACAAAAUUAUAACUUAGAGCUGUCAAGCUUUACCACCAUUACACCUCCACUCAGUUUUUGUUAAUUCUGCUACAUUGGCUGUUAGACUUAAACCAUGUAUUAUACAGACAGCACUGAGACCAGUGAGACAGGAUGGGAAUAAGGAUUACAGGGACUGAAGACUUGGAACAACUUUUUUCUGCUUUUAAGAGGUUCUAGACAUGAAAACUGUUUUUCAUAUGUGAAUGACUGAAGUAUAUAACCUCAAAAUAAUUGACAUGAAAAAAAAAAGGAAGCAUUUUCAUAACAAGUACAUCAGUUUGUACCUAAACAGGAAAGUCUGCAGCAGAAUUAAGCACUGAAUUAUCUUGCUGAAAUUAAAACCACAAAAUCUCUUUGUUUAGUCUGUCUUAGUGAAACUAAUAUCAAGCUUUGCUUUGAGCAAUGGCAUAAUAACAAAUUCCCUAUUCUAUGAGGAUAGCAGCAAAUCAAACUGGUGUAUCUACACUUGCAUCUGAAAAUUGUGUAUAUCUUGGUAGAUAGUCAUGCCUGAGGCUAGGUUAGCUCAUUCAUGGAGAAAGAACUUGGUUGUUGCUGCCUUGUGUGUGAAGAAGUCUCUGCAUUUAUUCUGUUUGUCCUUUACUGGGUAAUAUCCCUUGCCAUGACAGCCAUCCAUCUAUGCUGUUCACCUGUUGUUUCAUUCCUGUGUAUGCAGAUAUGCAGAAACACAGAAUUCAGAAUUGCACUCCACCUCAUCCCUGUUAAAGUUCCUUGCAAACAGAGAAUUUUUGUUGACACUUUAGGAUCUUUCUGUGAAAUUAUUUUUCUAUAGCUUGAGAUACGGCAAAAAAUUAGUCUUUCUCCAAAUACAGAAUAAAUCGGUACAUAGCUAUUAUAAUGUUUUUCACAUUAUCUUAUGGUUAGCUUGAAAAACAUGCAAGAUCAUCAGUGGUGUCUAGAUUUUUCUGUAUAGUAAUAAAGGAUCAUGUUUUCCA
rnacentral:lncRNA from 7 species